CAGGUUCAAUCACUUUAGAAAAUUGUAAUCUUCUUCCAGUCGAGUUAAUCGGCUCUUCAUUAUCCAUCGGAAUUGUAUUUACAGUUGCUUCAACAUCUGCAUGCAAAGUCUCUGGUGAUUGGUACUUCUGUGGAAGGAAGUUCCCAAACGUCAGGGGUUCCAGUGUCGUAACGACACCAUGAGCAGGGGUGACAAGUUGAGAAGGUGCUAUCGGAGCAGUCGGAGCAGCGUUGCGACGGCGGCGAGCCAUUUUCGGCACUAAUUGCAGUCUUGCUAUUGUGCGCCGAAGAUGGUAGUCACUGUUCUAUUGGUUUUCUAAAAUGCGCCGAGAGCAUUUUCGCUCCCCUCCUCGACAUGUACAAUCUUUAUUAAACUUAAUUAGGUAACUUAAGAACAAAACCACAUCAUCUGCUAUAAGUGAUUAAAAGACGCUAUGGGCUUGAAACACUUCUUUACUCCAGUGUACAUAAGUUAAAUCUAUUGAUAAUUUGAAGUGUCGACGUCUUGAUGAAUCAAAUUUGUGAACGUGAAAUAUUAGUACAAAUUUGUUUAUCAAAGAAUUUUUUUUGCGAUGUAGAAAGCAGGACCGGGGAGCUUGGAGGGAGGAGGCGUAUUAGCUUGCCUCUACGCUAUUUUAGGUCCACUUUGUGUUUGUUCAAUCCUUUGAGAAGCUCUUUUGUUAGUAUCAGAAAAACAGUUCGUGAUUGGCAAAUAUUUUAAGAAAAAAUA
rnacentral:lncRNA from 1 species